UUCUCUCUCUAAACCCAAAACAGAUCUCUCUCACCACCAUCUGCAACACACAAAUUCCACCAUGCCGACGAUUUAAUAUCAAGUUUGUGUUGAUUCGUCAUCGCCGCCACACUCUAAAGCCGAAGAAAACGAGAUCCAAACCUCUCAACGCACAUAUUCAUCAGCUUCUCCCUCUUCACAAACCAGUGUUAGUGAUUUGAUGAUGCAAGGGAUAUCGAUGCAAAGAGAAGAAAUCAUGUGCUGCACAGAUGGGCUGAUUGAAAUUAACAAAGAUUUGUCCGCUGCACAUAAGAGCAAUAUUAUGGAGUUGUCGUUCCGAUAUCUAUUGGACAUGAAGACCCCCAUAAAAAUGAAUGGAAAUGUGUUGAGGGAAUUAUGGCCUAGUUGGGAUGCAAGGAGCUUUGGUUUCUUAAUUGCAUAAUUUUUCUGUUGUUAGGUUGAUCCACUUAAAGACAACCAAUUUUAAACGUAGGAAAAAAGAAUGACUACGCCUUUGCAAAAUUGUGGUUACAUUGUUCAUUUCUUUAGUUAUAUGGAAUUUUCUUGUGUAAAAAAUAUCAAUUUAUCCGUGAGAUAUAAAAUAUUACUACCUUCCAUGUUA